rnacentral:tRNA from 1 species
ACCCGGAUUCGAACCGGGGUUGUUCG